UGCCUACGGGACGCAGCAGUGGGGGAUAUUGCACAAUGGGGGGAACCCUGAUGCAGCGACGCCGCGUGGGUGAAGGAGCGUUUCGGCGCGUAAAGCCCUAUCGGCAGGGAAGAAAAUGACGGUACCUGACUAAGAAGCCCCGGCUAACUACGUGCCAGCAGCCGCGGUAAUACGUAGGGGGCAAGCGUUAUCCGGAUUUACUGGGUGUAAAGGGAGCGUAGACGGAAUAGCACGUCUGAUGUGAAAGAUCGGGGCUCAACCCCGGGCCUGCAUUGGAAACUGUUAAGCUGGAGUACAGGAGAGGG
rnacentral:rRNA from 1 species